rnacentral:rRNA from 1 species
GGUGAAAAGCACCCCGGAAGGGGAGUGAAAUAGAACCUGAAACCGUGUGCUUACAAGUAGUCAGAGCCCGUUAAUGGGUGAUGGCGUGCCUUUUGUAGAAUGAACCGGCGAGUUACGAUUUGAUGCAAGGUUAAGCAGUAAAUGUGGAGCCGUAGCGAAAGCGAGUCUGAAUAGGGCGUUUAGUAUUUGGUCGUAGACCCGAAACCAGGUGAUCUACCCUUGGUCAGGUUGAAGUUCAGGUAACACUGAAUGGAGGACCGAACCGACUUACGUUGAAAAGUGAGCGGAUGAACUGAGGGUAGCGGAGAAAUUCCAAUCGAACCUGGAGAUAGCUGGUUCUCUCCGAAAUAGCUUUAGGGCUAGCCUCAAGUGAUGAUUAUUGGAGGUAGAGCACUGUUUGGACGAGGGGCCCCUCUCGGGUUACCGAAUUCAGACAAACUCCGAAUGCCAAUUAAUUUAACUUGGGAGUCAGAACAUGGGUGAUAAGGUCCGUGUUCGAAAGGGAAACAGCCCAGACCACCAGCUAAGGUCCCAAAAUAUAUGUUAAGUGGAAAAGGAUGUGGCGUUGCCCAGACAACUAGGAUGUUGGCUUAGAAGCAGCCAUCAUUUAAAGAGUGCGUAAUAGCUCACUAGUCGAGUGACACUGCGCCGAAAAUGUACCGGGGCUAAACAUAUUACCGAAGCUGUGGAUUGUCCUUUGGACAAUGGUAGGAGAGCGUUCUAAGGGCGUUGAAGCAUGAUCGUAAGGACAUGUGGAGCGCUUAGAAGUGAGAAUGCCGGUGUGAGUAGCGAAAGACGGGUGAGAAUCCCGUCCACCGAUUGACUAAGGUUUCCAGAGGAAGGCUCGUCCGCUCUGGGUUAGUCGGGUCCUAAGCUGAGGCCGACAGGCGUAGGCGAUGGAUAACAGGUUGAUAUUCCUGUACCACCUAUAAUCGUUUUAAUCGAUGGGGGGACGCAGUAGGAUAGGCGAAGCGUGCGAUUGGAUUGCACGUCUAAGCAGUAAGGCUGAGUAUUAGGCAAAUCCGGUACUCAUUAAGGCUGAGCUGUGAUGGGGAGAAGACAUUGUGUCUUCGAGUCGUUGAUUUCACACUGCCGAGAAAAGCCUCUAGAUAGAAAAUAGGUGCCCGUACCGCAAACCGACACAGGUAGUCAAGAUGAGAAUUCUAAGGUGAGCGAGCGAACUCUCGUUAAGGAACUCGGCAAAAUGACCCCGUAACUUCGGGAGAAGGGGUGCUCUUUAGGGUUAACGCCCAGAAGAGCCGCAGUGAAUAGGCCCAAGCGACUGUUUAUCAAAAACACAGGUCUCUGCUAAACCGUAAGGUGAUGUAUAGGGGCUGACGCCUGCCCGGUGCUGGAAGGUU